UACGUAGGGGGCAAGCGUUGUCCGGAUUUAUUGGGCGUAAAGAGCGUGUAGGCGGCCAGAUAGGUCCGUUGUGAAAACUCGAGGCUCAACCUCGAGACGCCGAUGGAAACCAUUUGGCUAGAGUCCGGAAGAGGAGAGUGGAAUUCCUGGUGUAGCGGUGAAAUGCGCAGAUAUCGGGAAGAACACCCGUGGCGAAGGCGGCUCUCUGGGACGGUACUGACGCUGAGACGCGAAAAGCGUGGGGGAGCGAACAGG
rnacentral:rRNA from 1 species